GUGUUCUUGGAUGAAAAGCGGGUUCUAUUGUCAUGGAAUUUUAGUUUAUCUGUGUUUAGUGUUUUGCAUAAUGGAACCAGAAAUUAGAGCAAGUUUUAUGGUCACAAAGUUUGAGGUCGCGAAAAGUUCGGGGGGUCGACCGCCUCCUCCCGCUCCCACUAUUAUUAAUCUACACUUGCUUAAUAGGAGCAGUGACAGUUUUCUGUGCUUUUAAAUUUAUGAGAAUAUGUUUAGCUGUAAACAAAUUCGUACUCAUAUUUCAGGUUGAAGUUGAGAAUUUGUUUGAUGUAUCUUCGUAUUAUGAUAUUAAUCUUGUGAUUUACUGAUUUAUAGACCAUGAUUUAUAUUGGGAGGGAGAACGACAAAGCGAGAGACAAUGGAGAUAGGAGACCUGCCUCCGGCCAGCCACCUUAAACCGGCAAUCCUCCAUUCAUUCAUCGCUCAACAUCGACGACAGUUGUGUGGAUGAUUCUGGAACUUGGGGCCACGGUGGUAUGUUUGAUGCACUUGCUAGACUUUCAUCACAAAUUUCGGAAGCAUAUGAGCACGCUUCUGAAUUCGGGGACCUUCAUCUUGGUGAUCUCCAUCUUUUAGAAAUUACUGUAGGUGAAGAUGAGGAGAAUAAAGAUGGUAAUGUUAAUCAGUGGGUAGCUCUAGCUGUGCUUCAAACGUAUAAUCCCAGACGCAAAGUGCCUCGUAGCAGCAUCUCUAUUCCUGAACUGGAACAGUGCUUGUCGAAAGCUUCGUUUUCUGCUGCUCAAAAGUCGGAUAUCUCAAACUCUGUAAAAGUCAUACAUUGAAAAAGUUUCUCUUUUUAGGGGAUGCUCAUUCGAACUCAUCAUGGUAUUAAAAACCGGAAAGAAAGUGUUUGUGGGAGAGCACUACCCAACUGGCCCGUUUGUCCCCUCUACUGAUAAUUUUGCGGACACGCCUUUUUUAGAAGCCAUUAAAUACGGUCAUGAUAAAGUGGCUUCAUUAGUCAUUACUGUAACUUGGUAAAGGGUAGAAGCCAAAAAGCCACGCUGAGGCGGAAGUGACAAGUGCUACAAAUAUCUAUACCGUUGUGGGUAAAAGUGCUGAUAGAUUGGCCUUAUAUUUUGGUGAAGACCCUUCCCGUUGCCCUUUCGAACAAGAUCGUCUUCUUCCAAUAGGGUUGAUCAAAUAUUGCAUAUCAUUUUUGCAAAAUGAGGCACGAACAAAAUCAAGCUACACUUGACUACCAUAGGAAGGUUGUCGUUGCACUUGCAACUCGAAGAUUUAAAGGCGAGAUCAUUCCAAUCAAAACUAAGAUGUUGACCAGAAAACUAAAAGAUGGUAUCCGCCCAGGAACAUUGCAACUCGAAAAAAGUUCUUACAACUUCUAUUGAUGAUGGGAUCCGCUCAGUAACAAGUUUAGUAGAUCCUGCAAACUUAAAGAUGGUAUUUAAGAAACAUGGGUCAAUCAUUAUUGGUACUUCCAGCAGGUGAGUGAUGGUCUUGGACGUGUUUGGAUAGUUUUGGAUAAUGGAGUUAACCAACCCGACUCGAAACCCGUUCUGACCUGGACCCGUUUCAACCCGAACCCGUUCCAACCUGAACCAAAACAAGCCUUUUUUUGUAAUUGACCUGUUUUGACUCUAACCCAUUUUGACCCAUGACCCGAACCAACCAGUUUGCCAGGCCUAAACAAGACCAUCAACCCAAAUACAUCUUUUAGCUUUAUGUAUUUCUCAUAAGUAAACUGUCAAUGCUCAUUUUGUUAUUUGCGUUAACUUCUUAGUUCUUACAUAUUUUCAUAAAUAAAUAUGUUGUUUUUAUUACUAAAUAAAAGAGUGUAUUAGGUGAAAACAUGAAACGUAUCUCUGAUUUGAUUUCUACGAGAUUAAUACUCAUGCUAUUACUA